rnacentral:rRNA from 1 species
CCUACGGGAGGCAGCAGUGGGGAAUUUUGGACAAUGGGCGAAAGCCUGAUCCAGCAAUGCCGCGUGCAGGAUGAAGGCCUUCGGGUUGUAGACUGCUUUUGUACGGAACGAAAAAGCUUCUCCUAAUACGAGAGGCCCAUGACGGUACCGUAAGAAUAAGCACCGGCUAACUACGUGCCAGCAGCCGCGGUAAUACGAAGGGUGCAAGCGUUACUCGGAAUUACUGGGCGUAAAGGGUGCGUAGGUGGUUUGUUAAGUCUGCUGUGAAAUCCCCGGGCUCAACCUGGGAAUGGCAGUGGAUACUGGCAAGCUGGAGUGCGGUAGAGGGUAGUGGAAUUCCCGGUGUAGCAGUGAAAUGCGUAGAGAUCGGGAGGAACACCAGUGGCGAAGGCGGCUACCUGGACCAGCACUGACACUGAGGCACGAAAGCGUGGGGAGCAAACAGGAUUAGAUACCCUGGUAGUCCACGCCCUAAACGAUGCGAACUGGAUGUUGGGUGCAACUUGGCACUCAGUAUCGAAGCUAACGCGUUAAGUUCGCCGCCUGGGGAGUACGGUCGCAAGACUGAAACUCAAAUGAAUUGACGGGG